AGAAAAUCAUAAUUUCAACGUUGGAUACCAUAAUAUUGGCACAGGAUGUCAUAAUUUUUUCGAAAGGGAAUAAGCAUUUUCGUCAUUCAAAAUUUCAAAAAAAAAAAAUAGAACUACAGGCAUUAAAUGAGUAUUAAAUAUGCAUUGAAAAGUGAUGGUUAUAUGGACUAAUAGGAUGAAGUGGUAUGCUCGACGUCAGAUUUUCUACACCACGGGCGGUGUACAAAGAAUUUCCCUAUAAACAUCAGCAAAGUAGGACUGUGUACUUAUUGGGAUUCAGCCUGGCCCACUAACAAAACCAACCCUCAGUACACAUGGAUAUCAUCUAGCCCGGUUUGUAUAAGUUUAUUCUAAUUCGUUAUAUUGGUCCAAUUCAAUGAUCCUGAAAUUUUCAACCCAUCCAUCUGAUUAGGCCUAUGGUAAUCAUAAGCAUCAGCAAAUACUAGGAUUUGAGUCUGAACCCUCCAAAAUCUACACCCAACCGUACUCAAUCAACUGGUUAGGAUUUGGUCCUACCCAAGUUGCACCUCUAGCUAGGAGUAUUAUUUACUUUUUUCUUUGGGUCCUUGACGAAUAUGAAGCGUGGGAGACGUUGGUAUCAUGCGUGAUUAGCUGCAUGUUCCCUGUUGAUUUCUCCCAUACAUUGCGUGGAUAGCUUAGCAAAUUCAACAUAUUUCAACUCAGUGCGUUGUAGCUUACUUCUAUGGAUACUUGUAUCCACUCAUUCGAGUUGGCAACGAAUAUUACGCGGCUACUACCUUUCUAACUCAGUGAGUAUUUGCGUUGACUUGCUUCAAGUUGUAUGAGCAAGAUCGAAAAAGGCUUUUCAUCCAAAAAAAAGAAAACUUUUAAUCCAAUCUAUUUGAUAUAUUUAAUCCGUUUAAUCUGACUUGAUUUAUUUAAUAAAUGAAUUAUAUGGAUUAAAUCAUAUUAUCUAUUUAAUAAAUAAAUUGAAUUUAGAUUUUUUUUGAAACGGUUUAAUAAAUAGAUCAGAUUGGGCUGAUAAAUUUUUAAUCCGACCUAUAUCUAAACAGACCCGCAUGAUUGCUACCCUUACAAAGAUGUAGCUUAUAAUUACAUUUUAUCAUGCACAAAAGAAUGUCAAGAGCCUUUAUCCAUUGUGUCAUGAUACUUCCACACGCAGGAGGUCUAAUGAUGCCGCCUACGAUGGUUCUAAUGGGCCUUGAGACCCAGUCCAUUAGCAGUAGCCUUAUGGAGAAGAAUAGUCUCUAGAUUUUCUUAAACUCAUCAGAGCCAUUCACACCUUAAACUUGCAUGCUUGGCCGUGCUAGCUCUAGUAAAUGAAUCGGGUUGACUGCAUAAAUAUAGCUGCCAACACUGAAGGGUCAGGCGUGUACCUUUCAAACAAAAGAAUUCAUCUAUCUCCGUGCAAAUCCACUAUUGGAUCACCCACUGCACAGAUAUCAAUGCACUCUGAAUUCCGUCAUUCAUCCGUCUGCAUAGAUCUUCAAAUGACCAGUGGAUGAUCUAAUGAUGGAUUUGCAUGAAGAAAAGACGAACUUGUUCUCUCAUGUGAAAGAUACACCUCAAACAUUUUUAUGAACAAACCAUCGUUGAAUCACAAUUUAACUCAAUUUGGGUUCCCUCGUUUUAACAAGUUGAGUUAGAGCUUGCCCGAACUUAAGCUCAACUGGAGCACAGAACAGAGCUCCUUAAAAUUUUAUAUAUAUAUAAUUUUUUUUAUAAAUAUUCUUUAUUUAUCUAUUAACAACGUAACUUAAUUUUUUUGAAGACAAAAUGCAUUGCAUUUUAAGGAGCACAGAACAGAGCUCCCGGCUACAGAGCAGGGUUACCAAAUUUUGCAAUCGAGGAACAGAAAUACGGAGCUAUUUUGAUACGACCUACGGCCUGUUUGGUGGAACAUGGAAGUCCCCCGUUCCAUGAGAUGGUGGAGAGCUCUCACCAGCACUGCCACAACAGGCUGCUGCUUCUUUCGCAAUAAGGGUUGAUCGCGUCUUUUCUCGACAAAUAGAGGGGCGAGUUGCCAUUGCGAGUUGGUCCCAUGCUCUUCUCAUUUCUCAAGCUCGCUGGGACUCGACGUCUCCUCCAUUUUAUCCACAGUGAAAGCGGUGGCGAAGCUCUUCCCCUUAGUCUUUGUUCAGCAUUUGACGGUUGCCCAUAUACUCUUUCAAGAUUAACAAUGGACAAGCGGAUGUGGCUUGGUUUCACAUCGACGUUCCAAGCCUUCUCCUGUAGCACAUCUUUGCUGACCUUCACAAGGCCUUGAAAUGUGGACAUAGCAGUCCUCCAUUGUUAGUGAACAUACGAAGAGGGAGGCAGCAGUCUAAGAUUUGUUUGCGCCUGGAUCCAGGAAGAAGCUCCAAGAGCACGGAAAGUUCCUAGUCCGCUGACACACAGAUCUCCAUCUCCACCGUGAGGCCACGGUUGUAUGCAUGCGGCUUCCAACCGUGACAAUGAAGAUCGAUUUGAGAUUUACAUUGUAAAACAGGUGAAGUUUGAGCAAUCAUCAAACAUGCACAUGUAGGUCACAAAUUACAUCGUUAUGCAGUGGUGAUUCAAGACCAGUCAUACGUCAUAAGGCAUGUCAAGUAAUGAUUUCUUACUGCAUCCUUGUUAAUCAAUAGGUCCAAUUUUUCACUAGUGAUGAAGCAAGGUUACUGACCAUUUGAGCAGGUGGGAAAUUCAUGGAUUGAGUCUAGUUCAAAGCAUAUAUAAAAUUUAAAGAUAGCAAACCUGAUUGAAAUCCUGAAA